GUAGGCAUAGUUUAACAAAAACAUUAGAUUGUGAUUCUAAGGACAGGGGUUAAACCCCUCUUGCCCACC
rnacentral:tRNA from 1 species